CUAGGUCCUUAGUUUCCUUGAUGUUGAAAGGCCCUACUUCAUUUGUGGUUGAUUCUAGACAUUUAGCCAAUCCUUAGGAGGUGUUUAAGGGAAAAUUUAAGACCUUAAAAGGUGUUCACGACUCAUGAAGAGGGGUUUACGGUCCAAGAGUGUUCUUGGGCUGUAAACUCAUGUUUACCCUCCAUAUGAUAAGGUUUUGGUGUUCUAAACUCGUAUAUGCAAGUCCACAAGUCAUAUCUAAGUCGUAGGAUUGAUUUAGAAGGGUUUUGGGGCUUCAAAACCCCACUUAUGGGUGUUUACGGUCCAAGAGUGUUCUUGGGAGGUAAACACAUGAUUUUGCCACUUUUGGAUGUCUUAAACAUGAAUUUUCAUGUUAAAUGAGCUAAACAACAAGUUAGGAUAGAUUACCUACGAUUUUGGUGCUCGAAAUGGAUGUUUUUGGAUCGAAAG
rnacentral:lncRNA from 1 species